CGAGGUUUACUGAGGUCCUCUAGUCAAUAUGGCGUAACCAAUUAUACAUCUGUUUCUCUUUCUCGUAAUGUGGUCACACUACAGUUAUGAUGUAGAAGAGAUAUAGAAUUGAUAGAUGUAGUUUCACCAUCUGCUGUCCUGCAGGAAUAAACUGUUCACUUCUGUAUGGUUAAUAAAAUAUUGCCAAUUAUAAAUCAAAACCGCCUACCACUUCCGUCUUUGUUACCACCCAAAGUUGGCCACUAUGUUACAAAGUUGGUCACUAUGUUACAAAGUUGGUCACUAUGUUACAAAGUUGGCCACUAUGUUACAAAGUUGGCCACUAUGUUACAAAGUUGGCCACUAUGUUACAAAGUUGGUCACUAUGUUACAAAGUUGGUCACUAUGUUACAAAGUUGGCCACUAUGUUACAAAGUUGGUCACUAUGUUACAAAGUUGGCCACUAUGUUACAAAGUUGGCCACUAUGUUACAAAGUUGGCCACUAUGUUACAAAGUUGGCCAGUAUGUUACAAAGUUGGCCACUAUGUUACAAAGUUGGUCACUAUGUUACGUGCGUAAGUAUGUAUACACCUUAGUUCGUUUUCUUAUAUUUAUAACUUGAAUGAAAGCUGAAACAGUACGACCGAACAAGUUAUACAAAACACAAAGCGUAUAUGUUUAUUAAUUGCCGCAGACAUCACAGUAUGACCAAACAUUGAAUCACCACCAUGCAAAUGAAGUGCAGCGACAAGGGUGCGAGAAAUAAUAUUGGUCGGACUGAAUGCUUGGGUCGUUGGACAUCCCACUUUAGCUAAGAGUUCAAACAUUGAACGCUUUACGAAAGCCAUAUAGUGAUAUCCACCCGAGUGAUCUUUUCAAGACAGCUCAAGAUUACUCAAAUUGUGUGAUCUAGCUUAUUCGUCGUUUCGUCACUUGUCAACCAUUUUGACAACGUUGCAAAAUCAUCAUCUCCUUAUUUUCCAUUUUUGCUUUUUUAGGGAAGCGUACACAAGGUCUAUCAGAGAUCAUUUUAAAUUAAAGAGCAAACGCUAAUUUUCAAGUUAUAGACAUUAUGAAAAUUAUUUGAAUGAAAAUUUCUUGAAGAAAAAUUUCAUAAAUAUGUUGACGUUUCUAAGAAGGGAG
rnacentral:lncRNA from 1 species